AGGUUAAGUUAUUAAGGGCGCAUGGUGGAUGCCUUGGCACUAGGAGCCGAUGAAGGACGUGACUAACUGCGAUAAGCUUCGGGGAGUUGUAAGUAAACUGUGAUCCGGAGAUUUCCGAAUGGGGAAACCCAGCAGGAGUAAAGACCUGUUAUCACUGAGUGAAUACAUAGCUCAGUCGAAGGUAGACGUGGGGAACUGAAACAUCUAAGUACCCAUAGGAAGAGAAAGAAAAUUCGAUUCCCUGAGUAGCGGCGAGCGAAAAGGGAACAGCCCAAACCAGAGAGCUUGCUCUUUGGGGUUGUAGGACUGGACAUUUGAGUUACCAAGAAACGAAGUAGUUGAAUGAUUUGGGAAGAUCAGCCAGAGAAGGUGAUAGCCCUGUAAGCGAAACUUCGUUUCCUCAGCCCAGUAUCCUGAGUACGGCGGAACACGUGAAACUCCGUCGGAAUCCGGGAGGACCAUCUCCCAAGGCUAAAUACUCCCUAGUGACCGAUAGUGAACCAGUACCGUGAGGGAAAGGUGAAAAGCACCCCGUGAGGGGAGUGAAAUAGUUCCUGAAACCAUGUGCCUACAAGUAGUCAGAGCCCGUUAAUGGGUGAUGGCGUGCCUUUUGUAGAAUGAACCGGCGAGUUACGUUAGCGUGCGAGGUUAAGGCGUAAAGGCCGGAGCCGUAGCGAAAGCGAGUCUGAAUAGGGCGAAUGAGUACGUUGACGUAGACCCGAAACCAGGUGACCUACCCAUGUCCAGGUUGAAGGUGCGGUAAGACGCACUGGAGGACCGAACCCGUGUAUGUUGAAAAAUGCUGGGAUGAGGUGUGGGUAGAGGUGAAAUUCCAAACGAACUUGGAGAUAGCUGGUUCUCUCCGAAAUAGCUUUAGGGCUAGCCUCGGAGUUAAGGAUCGUGGAGGUAGAGCACUGUUUGGACUAGGGGCCCGUCUUGGGUUACUGAAUUCAGAUAAACUCCGAAUGCCACAGAUCUAUAUCCGGGAGUCAGACUGCGAGUGAUAAGAUCCGUAGUCGAAAGGGAAACAGCCCAGACCACCGAUUAAGGUCCCUAAAUAUGUGUUAAGUGGAAAAGGAUGUGGAAUUGCACAGACAACUAGGAUGUUGGCUUAGAAGCAGCCA
rnacentral:rRNA from 2 species